GCAGUGUACCCGCGGCAAGACGGAAAGACCCCGUGAACCUUUACUAUAGCUUGACACUGAACAUUGAGCCUUGAUGUGUAGGAUAGGUGGGAGGCUUUGAAGUGUGGACGCCAGUCUGCAUGGAGCCGACCUUGAAAUACCACCCUUUAAUGUUUGAUGUUCUAACGUGGACCCGUUACCCGGGUUGCGGACAGUGUCUGGUGGGUAGUUUGACUGGGGCGGUCUCCUCCUAAAGAGUAACGGAGGAGCACGAAGGUUGGCUAAUCCUGGUCGGACAUCAGGAGGUUAGUGCAAUGGCAUAAGCCAGCUUGACUGCGAGCGUGACGGCGCGAGCAGGUGCGAAAGCAGGUCAUAGUGAUCCGGUGGUUCUGAAUGGAAGGGCCAUCGCUCAACGGAUAAAAGGUACUCCGGGGAUAACAGGCUGAUACCGCCCAAGAGUUCAUAUCGACGGCGGUGUUUGGCACCUCGAUGUCGGCUCAUCACAUCCUGGGGCUGAAGUAGGUCCCAAGGGUAUGGCUGUUCGCCAUUUAAAGUGGUACGCGAGCUGGGUUUAGAACGUCGUGAGACAGUUCGGUCCCUAUCUGCCGUGGGCGCUGGAGAACUGAGGGGGGCUGCUCCUAGUACGAGAGGACCGGAGUGGACGCAUCACUGGUGUUCGGGUUGUCAUGCCAAUGGCACUGCCCGGUAGCUAAAUGCGGAAGAGAUAAGUGCUGAAAGCAUCUAAGCACGAAACUUGCCCCGAGAUGAGUUCUCCCUGAGACUUAGAGUCUCCUGAAGGAACGUUGAAGACGACGACGUUGAUAGGCCGGGUGUGUAAGCGCAGCGAUGCGUUGAGCUAACCGGUACUAAUGAACCGUGAGGCUUAACCUUACA
rnacentral:rRNA from 1 species